CCCAGGCGGCUUUCCCAGGGCCACCACAAGGACAGUCAUCUAACUUGCCCCCAAGUGAUUUGGGCCAACCCAUGGCCACUGCAGAAGUGACUGACAGCGUGUUGUAGAAAUCCCACCACACCAAAAGCGGGGGCGGAAGAGUUCCCCACUCCCUGAUAGUGGGCUGCUGGCUAGAGAAGGCUGUGGCCCUGACAGCCUGACAUUCUGCUGCCCCCAAAGCAUGGGGGCAAGACACUGUCCCCUGAGCCUGUGACCUGCUGCAUCCUCACCUCCUGGGUGGGGGUCCAAGCCACGUUCCCUCUCUGAAGAUAACAACAAUUGCCCACAGCCUGGACCGCAUGUUUGCAGUGGGUCAUGGAGUUUCUGAACAGCAUGGCCUAGUGGACAGAGUGAGUGGGGCCAAUUGGAGAGGUGGUGGGGGCCUGGCUCCUGUGCCCUGAGGCUCACACUCCCUGCCCCUUUGUACCUCGCUCUCUAUUCCAGAUCGGAACACAAGGUGUCUUGAGGUGAAGUCUGUGGAGCCUCCACUAUGUGUGCAGGAGGUGAGCACUGAGGAGGCCCCGCUGUAGUAAGAAGGGUAAAAAAAAACAAUCAGUAUGGACAAGACUUUCAUGACUUGCCCUGGACCAAAGAUUAAAAACAACCUGGACAGGAGGUCUUUGUUGAAGCCAGCCUGAACAAUGGCAGAAAUGUCCUUUCUAAUGACAUCACUAUGAAGAGCACCACCUGUGU
rnacentral:lncRNA from 1 species